GUCAGAGCCAUAUCUCCCUGCAGUUCUUGCCUGGUUUCCAAGCUAAGCAGGGUUGAGCCUAGCCUGUACUUGGAAUGGAGACCUCCUGGGGAACACUAAGGUUGCUGCUGGAA
rnacentral:rRNA from 1 species